CAGAUUUUCUUAUGAUCGGGCAAUAGCGACAGAAAUCACAAAGAAAGAGACAAAGGAUAGGGAGUCGGAAGGGAAGCAAGAGAGAAAUAGGAGUAACAGCUCUCUCUUGGCUCUCCGAAAGCUCUGUUGAGGUUGCCGUUGCCGCUGAUCAGCGCUCAUGUUUCCGAUUUGCUUAUGAUCGGGCAACGGUGAUGAGAGAGAGGAAGGGGAGUCCGAAGGAAAGUAAGAGAAAUAGUGUUACCGUUGCAUCUUUCGUCGAAAAUUCCUCAAAGUCCCAACAAAGUCCUACUGAUUUGGUGGGACUUUGUGAGGGACGGGGUGGGAGUAUUACCAUGCCACGUGGGUCAACAGUAAAGUUACUUGUCGGCUCAUUUUUCCACCCCUUGCAACCAAACAACUUAAAAUACCAUAAUUUUAGGAAAAGUUAAGAACUUUCCCACCCCAACAAUCCCACCCCAUCAAAACCCUUCUAAACAAACGGCCCUAAAUUUCUUAUAUAUGAUUUUUCGGAGAAGGAUCACCAAAACGCUAGAUUGGAGAUCUCUUCCCACGCCCUCUCACAUAAUGAAUCGUGGAAGGAGGAAGAACCCUUCCCACAGAAAAGCUCCGGAUAGAUUAAAAGCAGAGCGAACCCGUUCCCUCCAUUAGGGGCAGAAAACGCAGGCAAUUGGUGAUGCGAGAGUGGCCAAUACAGAAUACUUGGUUCAACUGACCGAGUCUAAGAAGGAAGAAGAACCCUUUUCCAAUUCCUUCUCUCACUUGAAAUUCAGAGACUGGUAAGAGAUCAAAUUGAGCUGGAGAUAUUCAACAAUGCUGCCAAGAUGGUGUAGAACAAUUACGCAGCUCUCCAAGGUUGGACUACAAAAGAACAUUGUAUCCCCAAAGGAACUCUACGCUGGGUAUAGAAACUAUUCCAAAGUUGCUGCAGCAGCUACUGCAACUGUGGCAGAUUCUCCAGUGAAUGGGGUUUCAACCAAACCGGAGGUCAACUUACUUUUGACUAGGUGGAUGAAAGAUCUGGAGAAGAUAUUCUAUGGCAAUGUUGUUGCAUAUAAUGCUGCAAUGCUUCCUGAAGCUCGACAGGAUGAGCAAGAGAAUGCGAUUUGGAGGAAUGUGUUCUCCGAUGAUGGUUCACCAAUGUCAAAUGAUGCUGCAUCAUCCACAGUCCAGAACAAAGGGGUGAACAUAAGACCUUACGAAAGUAAAAAUGGUGAAGAUGGUUCAUCAUCCUUUCCUAAGGGAAUGUCCUCGGUUAAUUUUCUAUCUGUGGAAGAUGAAUUAAAAGAUUCUGUUAAAGCAGCACAUUAUCAUUCAAAAGUGAACAUUGAGAAUGAGAUAUUAUGUUCCUAUGUCAUCCAGGAACUGACUCAACCAAGAAAAGAACAUGUUCCAUCAAUUUGUUCAAAAAGUUCUGGACUCAAACCUUCUCACAUGAAACAAAUGAGUGAUGGCAAUAACAUUACAUAUGCAGAACUGUUUACCUCAGAGGCAACAGUUGUAGAUUCUGGAAUGGAUAUCAAGGAUCUUGGACAGGAUGGCUCAUCUUGUGUACAAUUCAAUGCUGUGGAACAUUCUUCAAGUUUGCCUUUUUCUCUAGCCAGCGUUCUUGUUGGGCUUGCUAAACAAUUCGGUGGAGCAUCUAACACCAGACCAAAGAUUGAUAUUCAGCUGCUGCUUAAUGCUAUGGAUAACUUGUCAGAAUUCCUUCUUUCUAGUUGUUCCAAUGAUGUAGAGGCAUUGAAGGAACAGGAUCGUGAGGUUAUUUGUCGUGUAGUCAACAAUCUUGAUGCAUGUCUCUCAAAGAAGGUUGGAUUAAUGAGAUCAAUGCCCCAAAUACAAUUUCCCGAGUCGAGCACUUGCUGCCUUAGAAAGCCAACUGAUCCUGAAAUGGUAUGGUGCUUAGUUCUUACUUAGUUGUGCUGCAGAAAUUUAUAAUAAAUCUUCUUUUUGUUUUUUCCAGAAAGAAAAAGGGAUUGUAGAAAGUUUCUUGAUACAUUCGGAAUGGUAAAGCUGUUUGUUGAUAGUUGAUAUCUUGACAAAGCAUGGUAUUUACUAGACCAGCAACUCAAAAGCCAAAUAAAUUUUUAACCUAUGGUUCAAGUUCAUGCAUGCCAACAGAGACAACAGAUAUCUUUCCUUGGAAAAUUUCUUUUUCAGCAAACGAAUAGUGAAAAUCAUGCCGAGUUAGAGCAGUUAAAGUAUUCUCCAAAUAGUCAUUUGAUACCGCUGGCCAGGAUAUUAUUGACUUUAAUGGUAAAGUUGGAGGGGAGAGGAGCUCACGAUCGCACGCCGGAGGGGAGAGCUGCUGACGGUAGUUGCAGGUUUCAGAGGAAGGCGACGGCUGUUUCUUCUCUUCCUUCUCGGUUUGGGGAUUUAGAGUGAGAGUUUAGAAGAAGGGAAAGGGGGGGGUAAUAUUGUCCAUUCACACCAUAUGGGAGUGUUUUAGGUAUUUUGGAAAAAAACUAACAGAAAUUCUACCACAUAACUGUGUCGGCUAACAGCGGGGACUGAUUUGGAAUUGUUUGAAUUUUUAGGGGGUGUUUUUGGUGUUUCGAAAAGUCCAGGGGGUGGCAUUGAAUAAGGACCAAAGUUUAGGGGGUGGCAAUGCAAUUUUCUCUAAAUAUUUUAUGGCUGGCUUAGCUCUUUUCCUUGGAUACCUUGAAUGUUGAAUAUGGCACCUUUGCACAUAUUAUUCAUGGACUUCUGUGAAGUGGAGUUACACUCAAGUCCAUAAUCAUAUAGGGGCUUCAUGCAUCCACAAGCCAAGCCUGAUUCCUAACUGAGCAUUGAAGAAUUAAAGCAACUCUACGUUUGCUUACAUUUUCAGGCAACGUCAAGAUAUGUUCUCCAGGAAUCUUAUUGCUUGUCAUUGACAGGGUCACUAGGUAAUUAAGGAGUUGGCUCAAGGCAAUGCACAAGGCGAAGCUUGAGCUUGUACUUUAUUUGGUGAGUUUAUGCAUCUGUCAUGAUGCUGAGCCAGUAUCUCACCAAAUAAAAGAUGGAGUCCAGUUAUUGUUCUUUAAAGACCAUAGGAAUAUUGGCAGCAUGGGUUAACAUGCUGGAUAUUCCAUGGUCUCCUUACCUUCUGAAAGUGCGACAGAUUGCACCAUUAUGAUCAUGCAGGUUUAAAUCCGGUGGAUGAAUUGAAUGGUAGUUUUUUCCCCUGCAUUUGUGCUCUUAUGCCUGUAUGUUUUGAGCUGCUCUUCUGGUCUACCCCAUUGAUACCUUGCAUUCUCCUCAUUCAAAUACCUUCUUCUGAGUAGACAGAGGUUGUUGGAAGUUUUCAUGCCAUGAUUUUCAGUUAUCUUGAUGUCUAAUUUAAGUUUUUUUUGCAUCAACAGAUAAAGAGGCUAUAUUUUCUGGAAACUUCAUUUUCUCCUCCUUGCAGAACCCAUUACCCGAUGCCAUGAGGUAAUUAGUGAAUGCAAGAGAGUGGGUCAAGAUUCCAGUAAUACUGUAACCAAAAUAUUGGUUAUUGCUUUGAACUAGUCUAGAAGCAGGUUUCCUAAUCACAUAUUAAAUCAAUUGUAAAGUUUUUACCACUUGAUUUUUUUCUUUUGGUUGGGGAAAAAGGGGGUGGGGGUGGGAGUGGGAGUUGAUAUAAGAAAUCAGUGACAUUCUUAUGGAGUCGUUUUAGUUGGAAAUAUAGAAAUUUUCCAUUAUUGUGUUGAUCAAUGUUUUGAUGGAAACUAUACAUGAAAGGCUUCUCAGGAGGUUUCUGGUUCUCUUUUA